rnacentral:misc_RNA from 1 species
GAACUUGAAUUCUGGCUGCUGGAAGAUGUCGUCACUGUUGGAGGCACUCGUGAUAUCUGAGCAAGAAGUGGUAGAAGCACCAUCUCUGUGAUUCUCUGGCUGAUGAAUUUCAGAUUCUGAUGUAUUUCCAGCCAAAUGAAGUUCAGCAGAACCUGAGGCAUCCAGUCCAUGGCUGGUGGGAGUAUUGGACUCCUCAAGCUUUUUCACAUUAAGAAAGCGCCCACCGGAACCCCUAGCCCUCCUCAGUGCAUGAAGGUGCCGAGAUUCAUGAAGAUAUGGCUU